rnacentral:rRNA from 1 species
GCCACACUGGGACUGAGACACGGCCCAGACUCCUACGGGAGGCAGCAGUGGGGAAUUUUGGACAAUGGGGGAAACCCUGAUCCAGCAAUGCCGCGUGUGUGAAGAAGGCCUUCGGGUUGUAAAGCACUUUUGUCCGGAAAGAAAACCUUCGAGUUAAUACCUUGGGGGGAUGACGGUACCGGAAGAAUAAGCACCGGCUAACUACGUGCCAGCAGCCGCGGUAAUACGUAGGGUGCGAGCGUUAAUCGGAAUUACUGGGCGUAAAGCGUGCGCAGGCGGUUCGUUAAGACAGAUGUGAAAUCCCCGGGCUUAACCUGGGAACUGCAUUUGUGACUGGCGAGCUAGAGUAUGGCAGAGGGGGGUAGAAUUCCACGUGUAGCAGUGAAAUGCGUAGAGAUGUGGAGGAAUACCGAUGGCGAAGGCAGCCCCCUGGGCCAAUACUGACGCUCA